GAGUGUUAGUUGCUUUGAAAAUAUCACUCAAUUCUUGGACACCUGAAUUAGCAAUGUGUAUAAAAUAGUCAAGGCCUGGAGCUAUGCUUGCUUAAAUCAUGUACUAUUGAAUCUUUACCAGAGGACGCUUGCUUAAAACCCCAAGGAAACUGCUUUUCCAAAGGAAUG
ensembl:misc_RNA